UCGAAGUUGUUGAUUUGAAGUAAUCUGUAUUUUCCAGUCGUUUUGAAAAGACGAAUCAUUCAGAAUUAUUAAAUAUUGGUUACAUAUCCAACAGUAAACGAAAUGCCUUAUAAAACUGCCUUCUAAAAAGAAUUCAAAUACAAUCAUAUUCUGUAUGCAGUAACCUUCAUUUAAUGAUAUAAACAUUUGAGGAUAUAAACUUUUAAUGAU